GGGAAGAUGGCUCAGUGGUAGAGCGCUUGUCUUGCAAGCAAGAGAGGCCCUGGGUUCCAUUCCUCAGCCCC
rnacentral:tRNA from 1 species